rnacentral:snoRNA from 1 species
GGGUCAAUGAUGACAACCCAAAGUCAUGAAGAGAGGGGAUGACAUAAAAUUCAUGCUCAAUAGGAUUACGCUGAGGCCC